rnacentral:rRNA from 1 species
UACAGAGGGUGCGAGCGUUGUUCGGAAUUACUGGGCGUAGAGGGCGCGUAGGCGGACAGUUUAGUCAGAGGUGAAAGCCCAGGGCUCAACCUUGGAAUAGCCUUUGAUACUGGCUGUCUUGAGUUCGGGAGAGGUGAGUGGAAUGCCGAGUGUAGAGGUGAAAUUCGUAGAUAUUCGGCGGAACACCAGUGGCGAAGGCGACUCACUGGCCCGAUACUGACGCUGAGGCGCGAAAGCGUGGGGAGCAAACAGG